CAGAGAACAAAGAGUCAACAGGACGAAGGACCUUAUGAAUGUGCUUUCUAUUGUUCUUCCCCUUCUAAAAGGUAGGUAUUGUGUGCAAAAAGGAUCCAUAUUGAAAAAAAGGAACUAUGGGUGGAGGACGUGACACUUUUUUGCAAGAGGAACAGUAGAAAGGAGAACCCGCCAUAUGGAGAAUAAAAUAGCGGUUGACUCUUCCCAUCCACUCCACCCUGAAUUCCAGCUCCUUCCCUCUGGCCACAGUGGACCUGAGYCAUAGGACCAUGACUCAGGACUACCUGGCUUGACGACUCCUGGCUGUUCCUGUCCCCAGUCCACCUGGUCGUGCUGCUGAUCCAGUUUCUGCUGUUCUGCCUGCGGCUAUGGAACCCUGACCUGUUCACCGGAUGUGCUACCUUGUCUAGGACAUACUGUUUCAAGCCUCCCCACUUGGUCUAAGGUUCGAGUCCAGGCUCUGUCGCGACUGGGAGACCCAUGGGGUGGCGCACAAUUGGCCCAGCGUCGUCCAGGUUAGGGGAGGGUUUGGCUGGCAGGGACCUUCUUGUCCCAUCACACUSUAGCGACUCCUGUUGCAGGCCGGGUAUAAUAUAUGCUGACACGGUCACCAGGUGUACGGUGUUUCCUCCGACACAUUGGUGCGGCUGGCUUCUUGGUUAAGCGGC